rnacentral:rRNA from 1 species
GGGGAAUCUUCCGCAAUGGGCGAAAGCCUGACGGAGCAAUACCGCGUGAGGGAGGAAUGCCUUUGGGUUGUAAACCUCUUUUCUCAGGGAAGAAGAUCUGACGGUUCCUGAGGAAUAAGUAUCGGCUAACUCCGUGCCAGCAGCCGCGGUAAUACGGAGGAUGCAAGCGUUAUCCGGAAUCAUUGGGCGUAAAGCGUCCGCAGGUGGUUUUCAAAGUCUGCUGUUAAAGACUGGAGCUCAACACCGGAAAGGCGGUGGAAACUUGGAAACUAGAGUUCGGUAGGGGUAGCAGGAAUUCCCAGUGUAGCGGUGAAAUGCGUAGAUAUUGGGAAGAACAUCGGUGGCGAAGGCGUGCUACUGGACCGCAACUGACACUCAGGGACGAAAGCUAGGGGAGCGAAAGGGAUUAGAUACCCCUGUAGUCCUAGCUGUAAACGAUGGAAACUAGGUGUGGCUUG